GUGUAGCAAUACUCUCUUAGUGGCGAAUGGGUGCGUAACACGUGGGUGACCUACCCCGAAGUGUGGAAUAACAGUUCGAAAGAACUGCUAAUACCGCAUGUGGUCCCGGGUUCUAGAAAGCCGGGUCUAAAGUCCCCCUUUGGGGAGACGCUUCGGGAGGGGCCUGCGGUCCAUCAGCUAGUUGGUAGGGUAAUGGCCUACCAAGGCAACGACGGAUAGGGGACCUGAGAGGGUGACCCCCCACACUGGCACUGAAACACGGGCCAGACGCCUACGGGUGGCAGCAGUAAGGAAUAUUGCACAAUGGGCGAAAGCCUGAUGCAGCAACGCCGCGUGCGCGAUGAAGGCCUUCGGGUCGUAAAGCGCUUUUAGGGAGGAUGAGGAAGGACAGUACUCCCAGAAUAAGGUACGGCUAACUACGUGCCAGCAGCCGCGGUAAAACGUAGGUACCGAGCGUUAUCCGGAUUCACUGGGCGUAAAGCGCGUGCAGGUGGUUUGGUAAGUCGGGCAUGAAAACUCUCGGCUCAACUGAGAGAAGCUGUCCGAUACUGCCAGACUUGAGGGUGUGAGAGGGAGGUGGAAUUCCGCGUGUAGUGGUGAAAUGCGUAGAUAUGCGGAGGAACACCAGUGGCGAAGGCGGCCUCCUGGCACACUCCUGACACUCAGACGCGAAAGCUAGGGGAGCGAACGGGAUUAGAAACCCCGGUAGUCCUAGCCGUAAACGAUGAUUACUAGGUGUGAGUGGUAUCAAGCCCACUCGUGCCGAAGCCAACGCGAUAAGUAAUCCGCCUGGGGACUACGAUCGCAAGAUUAAAACUCAAAGGAAUUGACGGGGGCCCGCACAAGCAGCGGAGCGUGUGGUUUAAUUCGAGGCUACGCGAAGAACCUUACCCAGGUUUGACAUGUAGGUAGUAGGGAAGUGAAAGCGGACCGAUCCUUCGGGAAGCCUACACAGGUGAUGCAUGGCUGUCGUCAGCUCGUGCCGUGAGGUGUUGGGGUUAAGUCCCGCAACGAGCGCAAUGACGUCCAAGUCCCGAUGGGCCCUUACGCCUAGGGGUUACACCCUUGCUUACAAUGGGUGGCACAAACCGGGUUGCUAAACCCUAAAGGGGGGAGCCAAUCCCCUCAAAAGGCACCCCCAGUUUCGGGAUUGGGAGUCUGGCACCCCGCCUCCCUCGAAAAUUGGGAAUUCCCC
rnacentral:rRNA from 1 species